rnacentral:rRNA from 1 species
GGACGCAAGUCUGAUGGAGCACGCCGCGUGAGUGAAGAAGGGUUUCGGCUCGUAAAGCUCUGUUGUUAAAGAAGAACGUGGGUGAGAGUAACUGUUCACCCAGUGACGGUAUUUAACCAGAAAGCCACGGCUAACUACGUGCCAGCAGCCGCGGUAAUACGUAGGUGGCAAGCGUUAUCCGGAUUUAUUGGGCGUAAAGCGAGCGCAGGCGGUCUUUUAAGUCUAAUGUGAAAGCCUUCGGCUCAACCGAAGAAGUGCAUUGGAAACUGGGAGACUUGAGUGCAGAAGAGGACAGUGGAACUCCAUGUGUAGCGGUGAAAUGCGUAGAUAUAUGGAAGAACACCAGUGGCGAAGGCGGCUGUCUGGUCUGUAACUGACGCUGAGGCUCGAAAGCAUGGGUAGCGAACAGGAUA